rnacentral:tRNA from 1 species
AGCUCCGUAGCCCAACUGGAAUGAGGCGCCUGAUUCAGAAUCAGGAACGUGCGGGUUCGAAUCCCGCCGGAGCUACCA